rnacentral:rRNA from 1 species
AGCGAACGCUGGCGGCAGGCUUAACACAUGCAAGUCGAGCGGGCAUCCUUGUGGUGUCAGCGGCAGACGGGUGAGUAACGCGUGGGAACGUGCCCUUCGGUUCGGAAUAACUCAGGGAAACUUGAGCUAAUACCGGAUACGUGCGAGAGCAGAAAGGUUUAUCUGCCGAAGGAUCGGCCCGCGUCUGAUUAGCUAGUUGGUGAGGUUAUGGCUCACCAAGGCGACGAUCAGUAGCUGGUCUGAGAGGCUGAUCAGCCACACUGGGAGUGAGACACGGCCGAGACUCCUACGGGAAGCAGCAGUGGGGAAUAUUGGAAAGUGGGGGCAACGCUGAUCCAGCCAUGCCGCGAGAGUGAUGACGGCCUUAGGGUUGUAAAGCUCUUUUCUCCGGGACGAUAAUGACGGUACCGGAGGAAUAAGCCCCGGCUAACUUCGUG